GACGAACGCUGGCGGCGUGCUUAACACAUGCAAGUCGAACGGAAAGGCCCUGCUUUUGUGGGGUGCUCGAGUGGCGAACGGGUGAGUAACACGUGAGUAACCUGCCCUUGACUUUGGGAUAACUUCAGGAAACUGGGGCUAAUACCGGAUAGGAGCUCCUGCUGCAUGGUGGGGGUUGGAAAGUUUCGGCGGUUGGGGAUGGACUCGCGGCUUAUCAGCUUGUUGGUGGGGUAGUGGCUUACCAAGGCUUUGACGGGUAGCCGGCCUGAGAGGGUGACCGGGCAAAUUGGGACUGGGAUAAGGCCCAGACUCCUACCGGAGGCAGGAGUGGGGAAUAUUGCACAAUGGGCGGAAGGCUGAUGGAGCAACGCCGCGUGCGGGAAUACGGCCUUCGGGGUGGAAACCGCUUUCGCCUGGGACGAAGGGUGAGUGACGGUAAUGGGUAAAGAAGCACCGGCUAACUACGUG
rnacentral:rRNA from 1 species